rnacentral:rRNA from 1 species
UACGUAGGGGGCGAGCGUUGUCCGGAUUUAUUGGGCGUAAAGAGCGUGUAGGCGGCUAGGUAGGUCCGUUGUGAAAACUCGAGGCUCAACCUCGAGACGCCGGUGGAAACCAUCUAGCUAGAGUCCGGAAGAGGAGAGUGGAAUUCCUGGUGUAGCGGUGAAAUGCGCAGAUAUCAGGAAGAACACCCGUGGCGAAGGCGGCUCUCUGGUACGUGACUGACGCUGAGACGCGAAAGCGUGGGGAGCGAACAGG